rnacentral:rRNA from 1 species
UGGGGAAUUUUGGACAAUGGGGGCAACCCUGAUCCAGCCAUGCCGCGUGAGUGAAGAAGGCCUUCGGGUUGUAAAGCUCUUUCAGCCGGAAAGAAAUCGCGCCAGCUAAUACCUGGUGUGGAUGACGGUACCGGAAGAAGAAGCACCGGCUAACUACGUG